CCCAUUAAGAUCAAUGGCUGUGGUAAACUCUCUUUCAACUACCUUUUCUAAUUACAAAAUCAUUCUUUUACUACAAGAACAAUAAGGCUGCCUGUCCACAGACAAGUGGUAUUUGCAAGUAUUCAUGACAAUAUUUCAAACAACAUCUCAUCAUCAUCAUCAACAACAACAAUAACAUCAACCAAUCCGUGUCAAAUCAAAUUAACUUCGAAAAAUGGGCUUAAGGUAUUUGAAGAUAAGUCAACGGGUGUAGUUUGUUAUAGAGAUGAAUAUGGAGAAAUCACAUGUGAAGGAUAUGAUGAAGGCCCUCGUUUUUGUCACCAACCCCCAAAGUCUCCUUCUAAAUCAAGAGAUGAAGAGAUUGUAGAGCUCCUCCAAAGAUUUUGGCUUCAUAUAGCUGAUGAUGCUGUGGAAUGAAGAGACUUUGUGCAUUCUUAACGGGCUAAUAAUCGACUCGAUUAUAUAUGGUUCAAGUUCAAGCUAAUUAGAUAUUGUUAUAUGAAUAUUAUGUAUUCAUUUUGUUCUAUUCAAAACAGUCAAAGGAGCAAGCAUCACAUGAUCCCACAAACAUUGGAUCUACCACUUCAUUUUAAUUGAUAUCAAACAUUACAUAUAAAUCUCAUCACCAAAUCUUGAUCAACUAUUACACUUGUAUUGAACUUACUUACUAUGAAGUGCCAUUCAACAUUACUAGUAACUUUUGUACUAGCCCUCAUCUUGAUUCAACUACAUUCAGGGCCUAAUACUGCUACAGAAGCAGCUCGAUUCGUUUUCUCAUCAUCAGAAACUUUGCCUUCUUCAACAUCGCAAAAGCUCAAAGUUGAUGAACAUGGAAGAAUUAGUGAGAAACAACCACUCAAGAAAGUUAAAUCAAGCUUUAGAAGAAUACCACGAAGCAGAUCCAAUCCUACGCAAAACAAGUAGU